rnacentral:rRNA from 1 species
UACGUAGGGUGCGAGCGUUGUCCGGAAUUAUUGGGCGUAAAGGGCUCGUAGGCGGUUUGUCGCGUCGGGAGUGAAAACCAUGGGCUUAACUCAUGGCUUGCUUUCGAUACGGGCAGACUAGAGGUAUGCAGGGGAGAACGGAAUUCCUGGUGUAGCGGUGAAAUGCGCAGAUAUCAGGAGGAACACCGGUGGCGAAGGCGGUUCUCUGGGCCUUACCUGACGCUGAGGAGCGAAAGCGUGGGGAGCGAACAGG